CCACCCACCCGCGCUUGUGUGUAAAUCCCAGCAGGGGACGAAGCUGUUGCUCGUGUUCACUCUGCAGCGGCAGCCUGUCUGGCACGUGCAGAUCUCACACUAACCCGCUUGGGGGCUUUUAUUUUAACGCACAGCGCAGCCUUAAAAUCGGCGUGGCCAGCCACAGGCAGCCUCGCCGUUGGGAGGGAGGAAUCCUUUCUGCCUUGUAGAGCAGUUUCACCCUCAGAUACAGACAGUACCCAUUGGCACACAUUAUGUAUUUAACACGUCUCACUUUACAAGAGUAUAGAAAAUGAGUCUGAAUAAAUAGAAGACUACGGUUUCUGUACACAUGGCUUUGUAUACUAUGGAAAAAUUUCUACAUAAUCAGCUCAAAUUCAGCAUUUCCUCCACCAGAAGAAAGUUCUAUAAGAAAUAUACAGUAAUUUGCCUCUUUAACCAACUGGAACUCUAUCAAAAUAGCAGCUAAUGGAAACACCGCUGAAAACAAGGUGAGCUUUGUGUACCUCGAAAUCUCAUUUCUUUCACCAUCCGAAGUAGCCAGUAAAAGAUAAUGCCUAACCCAUCUUUUCGCUUGACAAAUUCAUUAGUUUUACCUAAACCUUCUGAUGGAAUCUCUCUCCAGAGCUGUUUGAGGAAACUUGAUGCAUGCAGGGUAAGAGGCAAAGGCCUGUUAUAGAUUAAAAAACAGAUUUAAACAACAGCAUAGAAAAGUAUGGCUAAACAGCUACAUCAGUAGGGAAGAACAGACUGAGCAAUCAGUAGUAAAAUAAGUAGUGUAUAAUGUUAGUCAACUUCUAGACUGUUAGUGGGAUGGCAAACUAUACUCAGUACAAAAUUACGGGUCUGGGAAGAAUUUUGCUUGAUUCUGUAAAAGCUUAUCUGUCAUAGAAAACUGGUUAGCAAAGUAGUAGAUGAAAUCCAGUGUAGAUAAGUGCAAGGUAAAGCACAUUCAAAGAAGCAGUGAUGGGUUCCAAAUUCAAUAUAACCGCUCAGCAAAAGAUCCGGGCAUCAGUACAAAAAACUCAUUGAAGAUAAUAUGCUUAGCAUGUAACAGCAGUUAAAAAAGCAAGUAAGAUGUUACUCUGUUUUACAAAGGGUAGAGAAAAGAUACCACUAUAUAAUUCAAAGAUACUGUCUUCAUUGUGCAUAUUGCAUUCAGUUUUGGUCAUCAUCUCAGAAAUGAGUGAGAAAAAGAACUGGUCCAGAGAAGGGUGCUACAAAUUAUUAGAUUGUUAUUGGGGGAUUUCAUAUAAGAGCUUAAAAAGACUAGAUUAGUGAAGCAGGUAUCAAAGAGCCAACUCUGUUAGCCCUGGUCUACACUAGGGAGUUAUUGUGAAAUAACUCUCCUUAU